ACUACAUAUAUUACAUAUAUAUAAAGAAAAAAGAGGAAAAAUUUAGUAACCUUUGUCGAUGGCAUACAUAGUGCUCUUCGUCGGACAAUGGGGUUGUAACUAACGACAAAAUUCUACGUGCAAAAUUCAACGUUCGCGAAUGAGAUAGAGAGUUCUGAAAAUAUAGACGGAUUUAAAGAUAGAUAUAUACAUAUACAUAUACAUAUACAUAUAUAUACACACACCCAUGCAUUAGUAUACAUAUAUGUAUAUAUAUACAGAGCGAGAGAGAGAGAAAGAGAGAGAGAGAGAGAGAGAGAGAGACAGAGAGACAGAGAGACAGAGAGAGGGAGAGGGAGAGGUGGAUGCGAAGAGAAAGUAAAGUUACCGAGAAAAGGACGAAUAUUACUACGGGAAGAGUCUGGAUGUUAAUUAGCAUUUUCCAAUUAAGGCGAUGGCGGUUGACUUUCGUGAAGAGUGAGAAGAAAGAGAAUAAGAGAAGAAGGAACGUAAAGAAAAGAGAAAGGGGGAUGGUAUACGACUUGGAAUACCAUUCGAUCGUUUUAAAGAAUUAUUUCAAUUCUUUUUCUUAGCAUUAUCCCAUUGUUUAUUUAUUUUCUUUCUUGUUUUUUUUAAAUUUUUAUUUCUUUUCCUUUUUCUCCUUUUUGAGAAAAUCACAUAGACUGUAUCACACUUGUUACAUAAUUUAAAGCAUGAGAUAAAAAGAAAGAAAAGAAAUGAAGAGAGAGAGAGAGAGAGAGAGAGAGAGAGUAUAUAUGUAUGUAUGUAGUUAAGAGGAAAGGAAUUUUCCUCCGUUCGUUUCCGUUACGCCAAUUACGAUUUGCCAAUUAAAAGUUCGAACGUUUUGGCGUAUAUUCGAAGAGAGAAAGAGUGAGAGAGAGAGAGAGAGAAAGAGAGAGAAAGAAUGCUCUCCAUGAAAAAAGAAAAUUUUGCAUGAUAUCUAGAGUCGCGAUUAUUGGCUUUAUCAUGUUUGCUAUUGUUUAAGUAUAACGUAUAAAAAAUAAGAUAGCACACAUACAUAUGUAUAUAUAUAUAUAUGUAGGUAAAUAAGUAAAUACUUACAUACUUAUAUGUGUAGAAACGAAAGAGAAUAUAUAUAUAUUCAAAUAUAAUAGAGUUUAUGUUAGAUCGAUGAGAUUUAGAUUAAUCGGCGAGCAUCCCUUUCGUUUAUCGUUUAAUAUCGUGAAGCAUAGAAACUAAUCGGAAAAUAGGGUAAUGUAAAGGGAGAGAACAGAGUAGGAGUGAGGGAAACAGGGAGGGGAGGGGAGAAUACAAGAAAAAUGGCAAAAGAAUCGAUGCCACUCCUGGGAGACCCGUCGAUUUUCUUUAGACUCUAUCCUUUCGUUUCUACGACGAAAUAAUGGUAACAAGAGGUACACGUAUACGCACACAGAGAAAAAGAGAGAGAGAGAGAGAGCAAUAGGACGACAGCGCCAAUUACAAUUUUCCAAUUAAAGCGUCUAUCGUGAAGAUGCUAUAUCCUUCUUCACUUUCCUAUGAGAAAGAAAAAAAGAAAGAAAAAAAAAAGAAAAAGAAAAAGAAAAAAAAUAACAGCACGACUCUACUCUCCUCUAACUCUUCUAACAAUUUCUUUUUUCUAUUCUAUUUUCUUUUCUUCUUUCUCUUUCUCUUGUUCUCUCUCCUUUUACCAUUCAGUUCUUUUCUUUUCUUUCUUGUCCCUUCCAUGAGGGAUCGAAACGUCGAAGUUUCGAUGUUAAACACGUCCGUUCUAAGAGAAGAUGCUUUUCCAAGUAUUUACUUUCUCGUUACAUCGAACAACCAUCCCCCUUCCCUGCUACCAUUGCCAUCGUUGCAUCAUCCUCUACCGACUUCACCCUCUCUGUUUCACCUUUUCCAUGGCUGCAAAAAAAUCUUUCAUUUAUUUUACGCGACAACCCUUGACGCGGCUAAAUUAAUUGAAGACUUAUCCUGAAAGUAAACAGCAAACUAUUGAAAAAGAAAAAUAUAUAUAUAUAUACACAUAUAUCUGUUAAUGUAUAGGAGAAAUAGAGGCAAAGAUAGAAGGAGAAGGAAAAAGGAGAGAGAGAGAGAGAGAGAGAGAGAAAGAGAGGGAGGAAAGAAAACUUUUGAUUACUCGUCGAUCUUAACUGUUAUUGUCAAUUAAGUAACAUCGUUAAUGACGGAUGCCAAUUUUCUUCUUUUUUUCCUUUUCCUCCUUUAAUUUUAUUUCGUUUCUUUAUUUUAGGGAUCAUUCUUUCCACUUUUAUUAUUAUUAUCAUUAUUAUUAGUACUAUUAUAAUUAUUAUUACUAUUAUAAUUAUUACUAUCACUAUUACUAUUGCUGCUUUUAUUACUAUAAUUUCUACUACUAUUACCAUUACUACUACUGUUACUACUACUACUACUAUUAUUAUUAUUAAUAAAUUAUUAAAACUAAAGAAUGAUUCGAAUAUUAUGAAAAGUACGAAGAAAAAACGAAAGAAGAAUUGGAUGAGGAAUGAUGCGAGGGGUUGAAAACGGUUAGGGGAAGAAUUACGAAUCGUACGUAAUUUUCGAGAACCGGAAAAUAAUAGGGGACUCUUGGAAACAGGUAUUUGAAAUUCGAAAAGUCCAAACGUGGUGCCGACGUCGCUUCACCUCACCUCACCUCACUUCACCUCACCUCAUCUCACCUCACCUCACCUCACCUCAUCUCACCUCACCUCGUUUCAUCUCCCCUCACCUCGCUUCGCGUGAACCGAUAAUACGAGCGAGCGGGUUAAUUGCAAUUUCCCAAUUAAAAUGCCAAACAGCCCCAUAACGCGUUGCAAAUGGGCGGCUUCAAUCGGAUUUCCAUUAUCGUACCAACGCCGCGAUAAUUUGCGGCUAAACUCGGACCUCGUUCCCAGUGACCACCGAGCGUGACACGCGCACUAUACCCCCUUGCCCCUUAGCCCACCCACAAUCUCCCUAACUCUACCAUCCCCGUUCCACACCCCUAUCCAACGCCCAUACCUACAUUCCUCACCUUCUCAUCCUCCUCUCGUCCUCUUCUCCUCCUCCUUCUGUACUCGUCGAUUCUGUUAUACUCUUGUACACUUACUUUGUCUAAAAUCACCCUUUAAAGGCCCUAAAGGUUCUGGGACUCGUUCGUCCACCCUCUUUUCCUACCUUUUGAUCUCGGCUUAGGUACCCUUCGUUUCGUUUCCUUUCCUUUCGUUUCGUUUCGUUUCGUUUCGUUUUGUUUCCAAAGGGUCGUUCGAUUUUGAUCGAAAAGACAGAGAGAGAGAGAGAGAGAGAGAGAGAGAAAAUGGGAGAGAGGGUGAUGAAAAAGGUUCUAAAGUUUCAUCUAAUUUUCUUUCAUUCUUCCUUUCUUUCAUUUUCGUAUCCAUUGUCCACUCGAUCGCAUUGUAACCAUCAAAUCGAUCGAGUUCUAUAAAUUUGAAGAACUUUUGAGAAGGAAAAUAAUUUUCGAUAAUCUCAUAUAUAUAUAUAUGUGUGUGUGUGUGUGUGUCGUUUCGUCCUAAAAUAUUUUUAUCGUUGAGAAUAUCGGAUUUUUUUAUAUAUUUAUUUUAUUUGUUUCAUCAUUUCUUUAUCUCAUUCUUCAUUUCUUCUUUAAUCUCUAUUGAUUCGCGAACGUGAAUACGAAGGAUAAUUUUCACGAAACAGAUCUCGAUGGAUAUACUCUACGGUAGAUUUAAUCGUUUUCGUUGAUUAACUAAUGUGAUUAUAUAUAUACAUAUACAUACAUACAUAUAUAUAUAUAUAUAUAUAUAUAUAUAUAUAUAUAUAUAUAUAGUAUAUGCAUUAACGAAUGUUACGUAGAGAAUUUUAUAGGAAUUUUCGCAUAAUCCGAGUUUCCGUUGUGUAAUCUGAUUCGUCGGAUAGUAUACCCACCCCUCCUUUGAAUCCCUCCCCUUCUACCCUUCCAACUAUACGUUUAAUUGGAUUUUAUUUGAAAUAUAAAAUUCUGAAAGAUUAAUAACUAAACGACGUAUUCGAAAUGAAAGAAAGGAUUUUACAUUUCUCUUCUUUCUUUCUAUUCUUUUUUACAUUUUUCACAUUUCAAAAACUCGAUAUAUGUAUAUAUAUAUAUUUUUUUUCAUAUUCCCAUUAAGCGAACAUUCGUACAAAUUCGUAAUCCGCUUACAACGUAUCACGAUGAUCCUCUGACUACUUACAUGAACUUUGUUGAUUUAAGAUUAAUAAAGAAAAACAGUCGAAAUAAGAAUGAGAGAUAGAAAAAGAAAGAAAGAAAGAAAGAAAGAAAGAAAAAAGAAAACAAAACAAAAGAGAUGGCGAGGUGGAACGGGGUUAAGGAUAAAAUAAAGUAAAAAUGAAAUCUAAAAAAAAAAAAAAAGAAAAGGAAAGAAAUGAAAGUGAAAAAAAGGAAAAGAAAACUACGAAAAGAAGAAAAAGAAGAAAAAGAAGAAGAAGAAGGAAAUUUUAAAACAGGAAGAUAUUCGCGGGCGAUUUAAAUUCAAAGAGUAAAUCCGAGAACAUCCCCGUUCUUUUCGACUACUCACCCCCUGUCAGCUUUUGAGAUUCUUGCGUCUCGAUCGUUUUAAAGAUCAUCUUUAUCAACGGCUAAUCCCCGAAUCGCUUUCUCCCAUCUCUCAUACUUUUCUACGCGAAAGGAUCGCGAAGGAUCUUGGCUGUACCUAAACCUUUUCUUGAAAUCGAUGACGAGAGAGGGUGAAUCGGGGGAUUGCGAUUCGUUCGGGUAACUCGAGUCACACUCGACGAGGUAAAUCGACUUUUAGAUUCAUCUUAAGAUAAUUUUGAUCGUUUGCUUCACCGUCACUCCUUUCGCCACCCCUUUAUUUUAUCACUCCUCUCUCUCUCUCUGUCUCUCGAAAAUCUUCAUCGUAUUUUUCUCUCAUUCUCUCUCUCUCUCUCAUUUUCUUUCUCUCUUUUUUAUUUUCUUUCUUUUCAUUCCCUUUUUAUCCUACGAAAUGCUAAAUUUAUUUUGCACUUGGAUAUAAUCGAGAGAUGCAGUUCUACGUUUCCUCGGAGAUUUUUAAUUAUCCAGGCUAGUAGUUACCAUUGAAAGAAGAUAAAAAAAAAGGAAAAGAAAAAAAAAAGCAGGAAAAGAAAGAGAGAAAGAAUUUAUUUCUAGCGCUCACAAAACUCACAUAAGGUUAGGAAUGAUUAUUAAAAAUUCAUUUCGAACAGGAGCGGAGGUAAUAAUGCAUAAGCCGCCGAGACGGUUAGUGCUUCUUCUAGGCGUUGCAUUCGAUUCGAUUCGAUUCGACUCGAUUCGAUUCGAUUCGAUUCGAUUCGAUUCGAUUCGAUUCGAUUCGAUUCGAGAGAAAGAGAUGGAAAAUUCAUUUACUACUAUCAAGAAUUCGAUAUAGAAAGAAACGAAAGAAAAGAAAGGAGGGAGUAUAUUAUUUUUAUUUUUACGCUUUACACGGUAAAACGAUACUAAAAUGUGUGCUUGUAAAUAGUAGAUAAUAUAAUAAUAAUAAUAAUAAUAAUGAUAAACAAUAAUAAUAAAAUAGAUGAAAUUAUACUAAAAUAUUUUCUUAUCGACGUAGAAUAUGAGUUAAUAAUAGAAAAUUGAGCUGGAAAAAGAUAAUUCUUUUUUGUAAUUAUUAUCAUUGUUGUUGUUGUUGUUGUUGUCGUUCUUUUGUACUACGAAAAAGAUCGUUUCUAAUCGUCUGGCCUAUCACGAGAGAAUAUCGUUGGGAGACGUUUAAAAAUGACUAAGGUGCAUCGCAAGGUACUCGUCAAAAGAUUGCGUAAAGAUUCUCGCCGCUCGUGUUCUUCCAUCGCUGAUUUCUCUCUCUCUCUCUCUCUUUCUCUCUUUAUCUCUCUCUACGAUCGUCAUUAUUAUCUUAACUUCUAAAGAACCAUAGAAUCAACUAACCAUACUCCGUGCUACUAAGGAAAAAAAAGGAAAGAAAAAAAACCACCAAAAAAAAAAGAAAAUAAAGAAAAAAAGAAAGCCUGUUAAACGAGUGAAAGAUCAAAAGACUGAAGAGAAGAUUACUUGAGCAAGAUUCCUUGCGAAAUGAGACGAUCGCUUUUAUGUGAAAUUCGAGGAUCAGAGGUCGUAUCGAUCACAGGAAGAGUAAGAGAGAGAGAGAGAGAGGCUGAGUGAAGGAGAGGAAGAAAUAGGACAAGAGUGAAAAAGAAAAGAAAACAGAUAAAGAAUUUUGAACUUCCAUCUAUCGUGAUAUUAUUAAUCGAUAGAGAUCCAAACGCGGACGCAAGCUGUAAUCGUUUACCUUCUUAUUUACAGGAAGUAUAUAUUCUAAUAUAAUGAAAGAUCAAAUGUAUAACCUUACACGUUGGUGUACCAUUAUAUAUAUAUACCUUCAAACGUGAAUGUACCUACGUGUCUACUAAAACGUAUUAGACAAUCUAAUAUUUUCCAGGUUCUCGAACAUUUUAGUUAAAAGGUCUGAAGGAAAUAUACACAGACAUAUACGCGUAUAUGCUAUAUAUACAUACAUACAUACAUACGUACAUACAUAUAUAUGUAUGUGCAUAUAUAUAUGUAUAGACACAUAUAUAUCGAGAUAGUGUUAAGGAAAGGAGACUUAAUGGACGAGGUAAAUGGGAACGUAAGGAUAAUGGAUAAGGAUAGGAACGGUUUGGCCGAACUCGAGGCGCCUUCGUGCAACAUUCAGGAGGAGACUCGAGAGACGCACCCGUUUAAAGGAUCGAAGGGCAACGAGGAUCCCAGUGCCUUAGCGAAGACAUUACAAUCUUGCGAAAUGUAAUUUCGGUGGGUCUAGCGUAAUUUCCUGGAGCAUUUACGAGCGUUCGGUAGAGAGGUGCCGUGUUCCCUCGAGGCUCGUCCUUCUUCCCUAUCCACAACUUGUAUGUACGAGGAAACCUCCUGACCCCUCUUCUUUCCCCUUUCCACCCCCUUUUCACCCCCUUUUCUCCUUGUCUCUUUUCUCAUCCACCUUCUCCUUCCCUCUUUUUAGUUCUUUUAUCCUUUUAUUUCUUUCGAUCCUUACAAAACUCCGAUUCUCUUAUAAGAAACGACUUCCUUUCAAAUUCGACGUUAACGAUCGACGUUAAACGGACCGAUCGUCACACUUUGAGAUAAGUAUUUUAUUAGAUAUAUAUUGGAUAUACGUACAUUUAGAUAUAUCUAUAUAUGCAUGUACACGUGUAUGUAUGUAUGUAUGUAUAUCAGUAUUUAAUUAUCAUCCCACAUUUAUUUCUUCCCUAAUUUAUCUUAUCUUGUACGAUCGAUAACGAUGCUUUUUUAACGAUCGUUAACGCUUGGUACAAAAUUGAAAACCUAAUUCUUACGUCAUGUUCGUCCCGACAAUUAUUUCAUUUCAUGAAGGUAUUUUCUACGUCGGUUAGAAUUCUCACAUUUUAUCAAUUCCAUGGAAUUCUAUAAUAUAUAAGAAUUUUCUAUUGGAAAAAGGAAUACAUAAAUAAAUAAAUAAAUGAAUGAAUGAAUGAAUUAAUGAAUAAAUACUGUGCGAAUGACACGAGAGAAAUACUUGAGAACAUUAAUAGAAUCGCUAACGAACGACAUUACGUUUUACGAUGUUUAAAACAAUAUUUAACUGUUACAUUAAUUUCUACUUUUUUUUUUUCAAAGAUAAAAUUGCAGAGGUAAUAUUUUAUUAGAAAAUGAAAGAAAUAUGAAAUGAAAUAUAAUAUAAUAUAAUAUAAUACAAAGAGCGUGCGAAGGAAUCGAUAAAAAGAAAUUCGAUGCACUCGUCAAUUAAUAAAAAUGAUGAUUGAAAUGUGUAGAAUCAUAAAAAAAGAAAAAAGGAGAAAAAGAGAGAAAGACAAAAUAGGAGGUAUAACAAUAUUUGAUCGUACCUAUGUUUCUCUCAAUAAUAUAUAUCAUCGAUCAUGAUAUCGACAAUUUUAUAUUUUAGGAGAGACGACAUUGUUUAAAAUCGAUAUUAGACAACGAUCGAUUUCCUUCGUCGUGUAAUUUAUUAUUUAAUCGUCUAAGAACUGAGAAUAAAUAGGAAGUUACAAAGCAAAUAUAUAUAUAUAUAUAUAUAUUUUAUUCAUUUAA